GUAUUAGGAAGCGAGAAGUUUGCAUUUGGCUUCGGACCAGACUUUGGGGGUGAGAUUCCCUUCCUAUACU
rnacentral:tRNA from 1 species